UGGGGAAUUUUGGACAAUGGGGGCAACCCUGAUCCAGCCAUGCCGCGUGAGUGAAGAAGGCCUUCGGGUUGUAAAGCUCUUUCGGUGGGGAAGAAAUUGCCUGGGAUAAUACCUCAGGUAGAUGACGGUACCCGCAUAAGAAGCACCGGCUAACUACGUGCCAGCAGCCGCGGUAAUACGUAGGGUGCGAGCGUUAAUCGGAAUUACUGGGCGUAAAGCGUGCGCAGGCGGUUGUAUAAGUCAGAUGUGAAAUCCCCGGGCUCAACCUGGGAACUGCAUUUGAGAGUGUACUGCUAGAGUGUAGCAGAGGGGGGUAGAAUUCCACGUGUAGCGGUGAAAUGCGUAUAUAGCUGGAAGAACACCAGUGGCGAAGGCGGGUCUCUGGCCUAGGACUGACGCUGAAGCGCGAAAGCGUGGGGAGCGAACA
rnacentral:rRNA from 1 species